rnacentral:rRNA from 1 species
AGAGUUUGAUCCUGGCUCAGAACGAACGCUGGCGGCGCGCCUAACACAUGCAAGUCGAACGGACUAGCCCCUUCGGGGGCGAAGUUAGUGGCGAACGGGUGAGUAACGCGUAAGUAACCUGCCCCCGGGACUGGGAUAACAGCUCGAAAGAGCCGCUAAUACCGGAUAAUUGUUGCAACACUUAGGAGUUGUAACUAAAGAAGGCCUCUGUUUCAAGCUUUCACCUGGGGAUGGGCUUGCGUCCCAUUAGCUUGUUGGUGAGGUAACGGCUCACCAAGGAAACGAUGGGUAGCCGGCCUGAGAGGGUGGUCGGUCACACUGGAACUGAGACACGGUCCAGACUCCUACGGGAGGCAGCAGUGAGGAAUCUUGCGCAAUGGGCUAACGCCUGACGCAGCGACGCCGCGUGGACGAUGAAGCUUUUCGGAGUGUAAAGUCCUUUCAGGAGGGAAGAAAUGCCGGUAGUGUGAAUAACACACCGGUUUGACGGUACCUCAAGAAGAAGCCCCGGCUAACUCCGUGCCAGCAGCCGCGGUAACACGGAGGGGGCAAGCGUUGUUCGGAAUCACUGGGCGUAAAGAGCGCGUAGGUGGUUGUGUAAGUCGGAUGUGAAAUCCCUCGGCUCAACCGAGGAACUGCGUUCGAAACUACAUAGCUAGAGGGCAGGAGAGGAGAGCGGAAUUCCCAGUGUAGCGGUGAAAUGCGCAGAUAUUGGGAAGAACACCGGUGGCGAAGGCGGCUCUCUGGACUGUUCCUGACACUGAGGCGCGAAAGCCAGGGGAGCGAACGGGAUUAGAUACCCCGGUAGUCCUGGCCGUAAACGAUGGGCACUAGGUGUGGGGGGUGUCGAUCCCCCCCGUGCCGCAGCUAACGCAUUAAGUGCCCCGCCUGGGAAGUACGAUCGCAAGGUUGAAACUCAAAGGAAUUGACGGGGGCCCGCACAAGCGGUGGAGCAUGUGGUUUAAUUCGACGCAACGCGAAGAACCUUACCGGAAUUUGACAUGUUUCUGACGGCCUGCAGAAAUGCAGGCUUCCCCUCGGGGCAGAUACACAGGAGCUGCAUGGCUGUCGUCAGCUCGUGUCGUGAGAUGUUGGGUUAAGUCCCGCAACGAGCGCAACCCUUGCCCUUAGUUGCCAUCGGUUCGGCCGGGAACUCUAAGGGGACUGCCGGUGACAAACCGGAGGAAGGUGGGGAUGACGUCAAGUCAGUAUGGCCUUUAUGUUCCGGGCUACACACGUGCUACAAUGGCUGGUACAAAGGGUCGCGAUGCCGUGAGGUGGAGCCAAUCCCAAAAAGCCAGUCUUAGUUCGGAUUGGAGUCUGCAACUCGACUCUAUGAAGCCGGAAUCGCUAGUAAUCGUGGAUCAGCACGCCAUGGUGAAUACGUUCCCGGGCCUUGUACACACCGCCCGUCACACCACGAAAGUUGGUUGUACCAGAAGUCAUUGGGCUAACCCUUUUGGGGGGCAGAUGCCGAAGGUAUGGUCAGCGAUUGGGGUGAAGUCGUAACAAGGUAACC